UACGGAGGAUGCAAGCGUUAUCCGGAAUGAUUGGGCGUAAAGCGUCCGCAGGUGGUGAUGUAAGUCUGCUGUCAAAGCGUCUAGCUCAACUAGAUACAGGCAGUGGAAACUACAUGACUAGAGUGCGUUCGGGGCAGAGGGAAUUCCUGGUGUAGCGGUGAAAUGCGUAGAUAUCAGGAAGAACACCGGUGGCGAAAGCGCUCUGCUAGGCCGCAACUGACACUGAGGGACGAAAGCUAGGGGAGCGAAUGGG
rnacentral:rRNA from 1 species